rnacentral:lncRNA from 1 species
GCCCCCUUAGCAUUUGUGGCACUGGCGCGUUCAGAUCCUGCGAGGUCAAUGAGGGACAUUUUGGCAAUUCGAACAUUUUGACUAAUGCUGGCUAUUUUGUCUUGUUGUCUUAAGUAAAUCUGGAAGACUGCAUGGGAACGAGAAGAGGAGGCAUUCACGUCUGUGGGAUGUUGUGUUCUAUUUUUAUUUCCAUAAUCCAACAUUUGAAGGAUUUCCUCUGCUGAUUUUGGCUGAUGUAAUGUUAACCCUUGAACCACCACCCCUUUCUGGGCAUCUUCCCGAACAGCUAGUGGUCCUGAGUUUACCAGAAGAUCACGGAUCUGUUCAUUGUACACCUCUAAAUAAGACACAGCAACAUUGCAUAUUUUUUCUUCUUUUAUUUGAUCCAUGCAAUUAUAAAGUGCCAUCAUGGUUAAAU